rnacentral:rRNA from 1 species
CCUACGGGGCGCAGCAGUCGAGAAUCAUUCACAAUGGGGGAAACCCUGAUGGUGCGACGCCGCGUGGGGGAAUGAAGGUCUUCGGAUUGUAAACCCCUGUCAUGUGGGAGCAAAUUAAAAAGAUAGUACCACAAGAGGAAGAGACGGCUAACUCUGUGCCAGCAGCCGCGGUAAUACAGAGGUCUCAAGCGUUGUUCGGAAUCACUGGGCGUAAAGCGUGCGUAGGCUGUUUCGUAAGUCGUGUGUGAAAGGCGCGGGCUCAACCCGCGGACGGCACAUGAUACUGCGAGACUAGAGUAAUGGAGGGGGAACCGGAAUUCGCGGUGUAGCAGUGAAAUGCGGAGAUAUCGAGAGGAACACUCGUGGCGAAGGCGGGUUCCUGGACAUUAACUGACGCUGAGGCACGAAGGCCAGGGGAGCGAAAGGGAUUAGAUACCCCUGUAGUC